CUCCGCCCCGAGCGGCUCCCGCACAUCGUACGGGGCGGGUCUGUCGCUUUCGGCGCCGGGAAGGCGUUCCCGAGGACCGCGGCGACGGUAGGGAGCCGUUGGAAGGGGCGUUUGUGAGCUGGUCUGUUUGCUGCGUGUUCUCACAGCGCUGCGGUGGGCGGCGUGCGGCCGUCAGGUUCCUGCUGCACGUACCAGACAUUACCACAUCCAUCACCCAGCCCUGCUAGGAGGAGGGCUUGUGCUGUCGUGGAGCUUGUGGAAGAAAUGGCAUUUCCCCUUUGCUUCUUUCAAAGCACAGGUUUUCUUGCAUCCUCAUGAUGAAGUUGGCACAGUGCCAUGUGCUGUUAUCCUGGUCCUCGUGGGGACUUGCUGCUCCUGGUGCAGAGUGACUUCCUUUUAGCCCACCAGCAUCCCAGAUAAUGUCCAAUAUAAUCUGUUGCCUGU
rnacentral:lncRNA from 1 species